rnacentral:lncRNA from 1 species
UUUCAUAACAAAACUUAUAUCCGCGACAUGUAACGACACUUUUUUCGCUAAAAAAUGUAUACUUUACAACGAAAAAAAAACAUUUUCCUAAACAAAUUUUGGUGAGUAGAAACGUUACUCCUAACUUAUGUAUAGUCGCAUAUACAUCUAUUGACCAAGCACAUCGCAUAUUUUGGAUCUGAACAGUAAGACUCACACUCACUAUCAGAAGUGCAGUAACUUUCAAA